rnacentral:rRNA from 1 species
UACGAAGGGUGCAAGCGUUACUCGGAAUUACUGGGCGUAAAGCGUGCGUAGGUGGUUUGUUAAGUCUGUUGUGAAAGCCCCGGGCUCAACCUGGGAAUGGCAAUGGAUACUGGCAGGCUAGAGUGCGGUAGAGGGUAGUGGAAUUCCCGGUGUAGCGGUGAAAUGCGUAGAGAUCGGGAGGAACACCAGUGGCGAAGGCGGCUACCUGGCCCUUACCUGACGCUGAGGCGCGAGAGCGUGGGGAGCAAACCGG